UGGUCAAGUUAUUAAGGGUGCAGGGCGGAUGCCUUGGCACUAGGAGCCGAUGAAGGACGUGAUAAGCUGCGAUAAGCUUCGGGGAGUUGCACGUAAACUUUGAUCCGAAGAUUUCCGAAUGAGGAAACUCACUUAGAGUAAUGUCUAAGUAUCAUUAAGUGAAUACAUAGCUUAAUGAGGGGAACUCAGGGAACUGAAACAUCUAAGUACCUGAAGGAAGAGAAAGAAAUUCGAUUCCGUAAGUAGCGGCGAGCGAACGCGGAUUAGCCCAAACCAAUAAAGUUUUCUUUAUUGGGGUUGCGGACAUAUCAUAACGAAGAGGUAUCGUAAUUGAAGAGGUUUGGAAAGACCCACCACAGAAGGUAAUAGUCCUGUAUGUUAAACGAGAAGACUUUAGAUAUGAUCCAGAGUACCACGGGACACGUGAAACCCUGUGGGAAGCAGGAGGGACCACCCUCCAAGGCUAAAUACUACCUAGUGACCGAUAGCGUAUAGUACCGUGAGGGAAAGGUGAAAAGAACCCCGGGAGGGGAGUGAAAUAGAACCUGAAACCCUGCACUUACAAGCUGUGGAAGCACAUUUCUUGUGUGACCGCGUACUUUUUGUAGAACGGGCCAACGAGUUACGUUAAGUAGCAAGGUUAAGCACUUAAGGUGCGGAGCCGUAGCGAAAGCGAGUUUUAACUGAGCGUUCAGUUACUUGACGUAGACCCGAAACCGGGCGACCUACCCAUGAGCAGGAUGAAGCGAAAGUAAAAUUUCGUGGAGGUCCGAACCCACGAGCGUUGAAAAGCUCGGGGAUGACUUGUGGGUAGCGGUGAAAUUCCAAUCGAGCCCGGAGAUAGCUGGUUCUCCCCGAAAUAGCUUUAGGGCUAGCCUCAAGGUGAGAGAUACGGAGGUAGAGCACUGAAUGUCCUAGGGGGUAUUGCACCUACCGAAGACUAUCAAACUCCGAAUGCCGUCAUCUUAUACUUGGGAGUCAGACUGUGGGUGAUAAGAUUCAUAGUCGAAAGGGCAACAGCCCAGAUCGUCAGCUAAGGUCCCUAAAUGUAAGUUAAGUGGUAAAGGAUGUGGGAUUGCACAGACAACCAGGAUGUUGGCUUAGAAGCAGCCACUCAUUCAAAGAGUGCGUAAUAGCUCACUGGUCGAGUGAUCCUGCGCCGAAGAUUUCCGGGGCUAAAACUUACUACCGAAGCUACGGCAUCAGUAAUGAUGGGUAGGGGAGCUUCCCAUACGGGUUGAAGCAUGACCGUAAGGACAUGUGGACAGUAUGGGAGUGAGAAUGUUGGCAUGAGUAGCGAGAUGUGGGUGAGAAUCCCACAGGCCGUAAACCCAAGGUUUCCAGGGGAAGGUUCGUCCGCCCUGGGUUAGUCGGGACCUAAGCUGAGGCCGAAAGGCGUAGGUGAUGGACAACAGGUUGAUAUUCCUGUACUACCGAUAACCGUUUGAGAGAAGGGAUGACACAGUAGGAUAAGCUAAGCACACUGUUGGUUAUGUGUGCCCAAGCAUUGAGGCAGUCAAAGUAGGCAAAUCCGCUUUGAUAAUGCUGGGAUGUGAUGGGGAGCGAAAUUUAGUAGCGAAGUAGCUGAUUUCACACUGUCAAGAAAAGUCUCUAUCGAGGUUAAAGGUACCCGUACCGCAAACCGACACAGGUGGGUGAGGAGAGUAUCCUAAGGCCAGCGAGAGAACUGUUGUUAAGGAACUCGGCAAAAUGACCCCGUAACUUAGGGAUAAGGGGUGCCACCAUCAGGUGGCCGCAGAGAAUAGGCCCAAGCGACUGUUUACCAAAAACAUAGGUUUCUGCUAAGUCGCAAGACGAUGUAUAGGAGCUGACGCCUGCCCGGUGCUGGAAGGUUAAGGGGAUCUGUUAGAGCAAUCGAAGCAGUGAACUUAAGCCCCAGUAAACGGCGGCCGUAACUAUAACGGUCCUAAGGUAGCGAAAUUCCUUGUCGGGUAAGUUCCGACCCGCACGAAAGGCGUAACGAUUUGGGCACUGUCUCAACAACAGACUCGGUGAAAUUGUAAUUCCGGUGAAGAUGCCGGAUACCUGCGACAGGACGGAAAGACCCCAUGGAGCUUUACUGUAGCUUGACAUUGGGUCUUGGUACUACAUGUACAGGAUAGGUGGGAGGCUUUGAAACCAGGACGCCAGUUUUGGCGGAGCCAUCCUUGGGAUACCACCCUUGUAGUACUGGGACUCUAACCAUAGGCCAUGAAUCUGGUCUUGGGACACUGUCAGGUGGGCAGUUUGACUGGGGCGGUCGCCUCCCAAAAGGUAACGGAGGCGCUCAAAGGUUCUCUCAGUACGGUCGGAAAUCGUACGUAGAGUGUAAAGGCAAAAGAGAGCUUGAUUGCAAGACAUACAGGUCGAGCAAGGAUGAAAAUCGGACUUAGUGAUCCGGUGGUUCUGCGUGGAAGGGCCAUCGCUCAACGGAUAAAAGCUACCCUGGGGAUAACAGGCUUAUCUCCCCCAAGAGUCCACAUCGACGGGGAGGUUUGGCACCUCGAUGUCGGCUCAUCACAUCCUGGGGCUGUAGUAGGUCCCAAGGGUUGGGCUGUUCGCCCAUUAAAGUGGUACGCGAGCUGGGUUCAGAACGUCGUGAGACAGUUCGGUCCCUAUCCGUCGCAGGCGUAGGAAAUUUGAGAAGACCUGUCCUUAGUACGAGAGGACCGGGAUGGACGUACCUCUGGUGUACCAGUUGUCCUGCCAAGGGCAUGGCUGGGUAGCUAUGUACGGAAUGGAUAAGCGCUGAAAGCAUCUAAGCGCGAAGCCAACUUCAAGAUAAGAUUUCCCACCGCAAGGGUAAGACCCCAGAAAGACUAUCUGGUUGAUAGGUCGAAGGUGUAAGUGCAGCAAUGUAUUUAGCUUAUCGAUACUAAUAGGUCGAGGACUUGACCAA
rnacentral:rRNA from 2 species